rnacentral:rRNA from 1 species
GAAUUUUGGACAAUGGGGGCAACCCUGAUCCAGCCAUGCCGCGUGCGGGAAGACGGCCUUCGGGUUGUAAACCGCUUUUGUCAGGGAAGAAACGCUCUGGGCUAAUACCCUGGGGUCAUGACGGUACCUGAAGAAUAAGCACCGGCCAACUACGUGCCAGCCGCCGCGGUAAUACGUAGGGUGCAAGCGUUAAUCGGAAUUACUGGGCGUAAAGCGGGCGCAGGCGGUCUUGCAAGACAGAUGUGAAAUCCCCGGGCUCAACCUGGGAACUGCAUUUGUGACUGCAAGGCUGGAGUGCGGCAGAGGGGAAUGGAAUUCCGCGUGUAGCAGUGAAAUGCGUAGAUAUGCGGAGGAACACCGAUGGCGAAGGCAAUCCCCUGGGCCUGCACUGACGCUCAUGCACGAAAGCGUGGGGAGCAAACAGG